AUAAACAGGCAGUUCUCAGGGUGGUUAGCAGACACCCGCUCCACCCAGCAGCUGCUUAGUAAUCACAAGCUACCUCCCAUAAAGGGGGAUCAGCCCCUGUUGCUGCUCCUGCAGGAAGUUCCUUCUAGAACCCCUGCAAUGGGAGGCCUGGUACACGCAGGACUCCAGGCUGUCCUUGAAGCUGAUAACACAGGAAGCCGGGAGACAGGCAGUGAGCCAGAGGGGCAGGUGUGGAAGGGAGGGGUUCUUAUCAGAUAGUGUGAGAAAGCCUCAGAGCCAACAAGUCCCCUGUGGUUCCCAGAGGGGCCUGUGCCCUCUCUCCGCAUCCUCUGAGCUGCACCCCUCUCUCUGGGGCUUCCUUGUGAAGCUCCCUGUACCCAUCCAGGGUUGCAUGGGAUGUUUGCUGCAACCAGACAACCACCUGCAGGGCCGGGUCUACUCACCUACUGACACAGUAGAACGCAAUCAGUCUGAAGAUGUCCUCAAACACAAGAGCUGAGCCUUCCAGGUACAAAACUGGGGAGAGAGAAGAAGGGCCCUGGGUAAGGCCCCAAAGGAACACCUCAGACUUGAGGAAGUCCCAACAAACAGCCUCGCACCUUUCUAGAACACAGGCCCAGCUCUGGCCCAGGAUGAAGCUUCUAGAGACAGCAGAGCCCAGACUUCAUUUCUUUUUACCAUCCUGGGUCCAGGACCUCGCCUGGACCAUCUCACAUGCUUCACGGGGCUCAUCGUUGCUGCAAGCAGCAUGUCACGCUGAGGCAACUCCCGACUACAUUGUUCAUGCUGUAAUAAAAGAUUCCUUUUUUUGGAAGCUGCUCUUCUGUAUUGAGCAAGUGCGUAGAUGAGACUUUUUAAAAGUCUGAGAAAAGGAAUACAGUGCAAGCAUACAAACUGUCACAAUGCAGCCAGGACUUCGACUGGGAGCUAUUUAUAGGUUCAGAUGCCAAAACAGAAGGGGAGACGUUGGACAGAUUUGCAAAUUGCCAAGUGUCAGGAAAGGCUAAAUAAAGAGAAACUAGGCCUGGGGAGAUUACUGGGAGAAGGCGAGGUGGAAGGAGUGGUGGGAGAUGCUGGGUAAAGGCGCCACCCUGGAAAGAGGUGCAUGUCGGGGAAAGCAAUCCCACCUGCUCCCUGCUCACACCGCAGGGCCGCGGAGAUGUCUUUGACUGGACCCACUGAGAAAAAAACACUUUGUUCUCUCCGGGAACAGAGGGGAUGGGGGGAAGGGAGGUGGGUAACACCUUGAUAGUGACAACAGCCCUGAGUGCCACAGAAGGACCCCCCCAAGAACGUCCAGAAAAUACCAGCUUCAACAUCAGAAUCAUACAAAGUUCACCAUCUCCCCCCAAGUUUGGGAACUUUGAUCUGAGGUCUUGGAGAAAGUGACCGCCACUGUGAGACCCAGAGAAGUUCGGUAGCUCACCGAAGAUCACAGAGCUAGGAAGCGACGAGGCUAGGACACGGCCUUGGGUGGGUCUGACUCUGCAGUCCGAGCCCUCACCCACCACAUGGGGCUGGUGUAGCUCUAGACCCAAGAGAGAGAGAAUACGAGCCAUGUGUGCAAUAUAAAUUUUCUCAUAGCCACAUUAGAAAUAGUAAACAGAAACAGGUAAAAUUAAUCCCAAUACUAUAUUUUAUUUAACCCAAUAGAUCCAAAAUAUUGUCAUUUUAAGACACCAUAAAUAUAUUAAAAAUUACUAAUAGGACAUUUCCCAUUUUUUUCAUACUAAGUGCUCAAAGUCCAGGGUGUAUAUUACACUCACAGCUCAUCUCAAUAUACUCGAGCCACGUCUCAGAAGCUCACUAGCCACACGUGGCCCCUGGCUACCAUACUGGGUGGCACAGCCCUAGAGAUGUGGUUCUCAACCAGGAGCAAACUGAUCCCCCAGGGGGACAUUUGGUGAUAAUGUAAAGAUACUUUUGAUUGUUACUACUCGGAGGGUGAUGCUACUGGCCUCUAGUGGACAGAGGCCAGGGAUGCCACUAACAUUCUCCAAUGCCCAAGACAGUCCACACAACACAGAAUGACCCAGCUCUAAAUGCCAACAGUGCCGUGUUUCACGCACCCUGCUCUCGAGAGAGAACCAGUUUGUGCUCCUUGAGUGAAUCGGCAGGAGCCUAGGAAUGCCAUGGACCCCAGCACCUAGCGUGCUGCCCGGCGCAUAGUGGGUACCCGAAAUCAGUGCUUGGAACUGAAUUCAAUGGAAGACAGCAAGGCCCAUGAUGCUAUCUCAGAGGAAUCAUACUCCAUCCUCUUCACCAGCAGUGCAGAGACACCAAGAGCCAGGAAAUGCGUCGUGAAAUCAAGAACAAGGGAUCAGUCUCAGUGCAACUGAUAGUUCACUUGCUUCAAGAUGCUACUGAACCAAGAUUGUAAAUAUCCAGUCUGCUGGGGUCAGGGUGCAGCUUUCUUCCCACUCCCCUUAGGCAUCCUGGGACAGCCCCAGCCCUUGGGACAGGGAAGCCUGUAGCUCCGGGGAGCAGAGUCAAGGAGGGUGCGUGUUAGGGCACUCGAUUGUGCCCUAACUACAUCCCACAACUACAUCCCUUUCGAACUGUGAGGCUUCCUCUCAAUUUUCUUAUUCAUUUUCAUCAUGUCCCCACACACUGCAUCCUUCAGUUCAGCCCAUUGCUAAGAAAACUGACCCUGAUCUGCAUCUUCCUCACCUUUGUCUACUUCCUUACUGGUUCUGAGCGCAGGUGGUGAAGCGAGGGGUGUUAUUUGGAGCACUGCCCCUAUCCCUAAGUUCACCGCAGGCAUAGAACUGGGGGCUCUCCGAAUCACUAUAAAUGCCCCAGGUCAGGGAUGGCGACGUCACUGUGGCUGCAAAGAGAAGCUUCUCAGUUGGCAUGGGGACAUUCCUCGUGACUGCCCGGGGUCAGGGCUCAGUGCUCCCAGUCAAUUAUAUCCACAGAGUUAUAGAUUUCUGCAACUGCUCAUCUAACUCAAAUCCCAUUUUAGUGACAAGAUGGGAGUUGUAUAGCCCUGUAGGAACAGAGCAGACUUGUCUCUAAGAACAGAGGUGGAAACAGGUCUCUUCAGUCCAAAGGUCAAGAACACAAUGGAAGGAUUUGGUGUGGUUUAGAAUCUCACCCCUCCAGCCGCCCUUGUGCUGGUGAUGCUCAAAUCUCUACUUUGCACUCUACCUUCCUUCCAGAGACCCAGACCCAGGGGUCCAUUUGAUCUUCCUUGUCAAGUAUUUGCUGAGCACCCACUCCAUCGAAGGCACUAGGGGGGUGCUCUCUUUCUCCCAGGCACCAACGCUCACUGCGUCCCUUGCUGUUACCCUCUAACUGCUCUUCCCUAGGCCCAGGGUGAUGCUGUCCCACAGUCCCUGACACCAGGUGCCCCAAGGCACCACCAGCUCCUCUUUUUUCAUCAUGCCAUUUCUGCCAACCAGGCCCAAGAGUCCUCCUCCUAAACACUCUGGGGUGUGUCCCCUCCCCUCCAUGCCUGCCAUAACUGCCUGGUCUGACCCCACCAUGCUGUCACCAGACUGCUGCCAUGGAUCUUCCUCUGGUCUUCAUCCCCAGCAGCACCCCCUGCACUCCAGCCUUCACACCCCCAAGGGCGGGGGGCUUCUGUUUAGCAGGCAUAUCAGAUCAUGACCCCACACUUAAUGUCCUUUGCUGGUGUUCCCCAGAGCCAUUUAGACAGAGGCUAAGCUUCAAGGCCUGGACGCACAUUGCCCUGCGAGUGGCUCCAGCUGAUGCUCCUGUUCUCGGCUUUCCCUCCCUUCCACACCGGCCACACUGGACUCUCCCUGGGUGCACCCCACCAUUCUGCCACUCUGUGCCCUUGCGUGGGCUAUCCUGCCACCUCGUGUGCUCUUCCAAACAGGCCAUUUCUAUUCAUCCUUCAGGACACAACUCAAAUGUCCUCACCCCUCAGAGUUGUUCCCCUGGGGUCUCAUUCACCAGUCAGUGUUGUGGGGCAGUGCGGGUCCUUCCUCUGACAGAAGUAAAAUCCUAACAUCAUUUUAAUAUAAUCAUCCCUGUAUCCCCAGGGCCUAGUGUCCUUAAACUGAAUAAAUGAAUGUCUUCUAUAAUUCUCUAUUUCUGCCAUAACUGCUAUUUCUGUAGCAUGAGUGAUUCUUGCAUCCCAAAGUAAACAGAAGUCUCCUUGCAAGCAGAGACAUGUUUUCAACUCAAGAGCAGUACAAUACAGUGUUAACAACUCAUGUUGGGAACCAGGUUUCUGGGG